GUCUAUAUUUUUUUCUUAUCAUAAAAAAUGAGAGUAAUUAUUUCAAUGAUAAAAUUACUCUCUCUUUAAUUUACAAAUUACACUCCAUCACUUUUCAUAUGCUCAUCCAGAGAGGUCCAAAUACCAUCCUCCCUUCUCAAUAUUUAGCUGCCCACUCAUCCAUGGAAGUACAAAUAUCAUAUUAGAAACCUAUGUCACCGCCCGCAAUGAAUUCAAUCAAAUUACUUCUGCUUGGCCGAUUUUGCAAGGAAAAUCGCACGCACCAUUUGCAAAAUUGCAGCAAUGGCCACUGUAGCUGCUUGGAUCUUUGUUGUCUAGGAUAACACUAUCAGACUUUUCAAGGUUAAGUUGCGUUUCUUCACGAUGAUUUUCUGUAAUCCCACCAUUAAAGGUUUCCCAGGACAGUCACAAUGUAAGCUUUUUUUUCAAAGUGGUCUCCACUCAGCAACUGUUGAUAAUGUAUAUGAAUGUUUGUAUAAUGUUCAUAAAUACAAGAAUGAUAAACCAUUUCUCACCAAAUCACAAAAAGCUUUGUUUCAAAGCUGCAUUAUCUGAUAUCCUGAAAAGGUUAAUGGCAGAAAAUAUACAGAGAAGGGAAGAAGAAGAAGAAGAAGAAGAAGAAGAAUGAUAAUAAAAAGAAGAAUAAUAGAAGAAUUGACAGAGAAGAAGAAGUUGGAUUAGGACUGAUAAAAAUGAAAAUGGGAAGGUUUACCAUGAUUGUUGUUGUGAGAGGUAAUUGUGAAAUUCUACGUUAAAUGAUAGAGAGGAAGGAAGAGAUGAACGGAG
rnacentral:lncRNA from 1 species